UACCUGAAGUACGUGACCGCGAGGAGCGUCCGAGGGUAAGACCGGUGACUGGGGCUAAGUCGUAACAAGGUAGCCGUACCGGAAGGUGCGGCUGGAACACCUCCUUUCUGGAG
rnacentral:rRNA from 1 species